GUGGGGAAUUUUGGACAAUGGGCGCAAGCCUGAUCCAGCCAUGCCGCGUGCAGGAUGAAGGCCUUCGGGUUGUAAACUGCUUUUGUACGGAACGAAAAGACUCUGGUUAAUACCUGGGGUCCAUGACGGUACCGUAAGAAUAAGCACCGGCUAACUACGUGCCAGCAGCCGCGGUAAUACGUAGGGUGCGAGCGUUAAUCGGAAUUACUGGGCGUAAAGCGUGCGCAGGCGGUUAUGUAAGACAGAUGUGAAAUCCCCGGGCUCAACCUGGGAACUGCAGUUGUGACUGCAUAGCUAGAGUACGGCAGAGGGGGAUGGAAUUCCGCGUGUAGCAGUGAAAUGCGUAGAUAUGCGGAGGAACACCGAUGACGAAGGCAAUCCCCUGGGCCUGUACUGACGCUCAUGCACGAAAGCGUGGGGAGCAAACAGGAUUAGAAACCCUGGUAGUCC
rnacentral:rRNA from 1 species